GGAGGAUCACGAGUUCAGACCCAGCCUCAGCAAUUUAGUGAGGCCCUAAGCAACUCAAUCAGACCCUGUCUCUAAAUAAAAUAUAUAAAAAAAUGGCUGAGUAUGGGGUUCAGUGGUCAAGCGCCCCUGGGUUCAAUCCUGGUACCAAAAAAAAAGUACCCUUUAGAGUGCAUGAUAUAUCAUAAGUGCUAAAAAAAAACCCACCUAAUUAGACUCCUGCUGUAUUUCUCUCUAUGUAUUUUGAAUAACUACCUUACUCUGUGUUCUGUUUAAUUAGGGUAGUUUUUGGAAAAACUAAGUACAGCAUUUUAAAUGGCUUAUGAUUCAGAAUGGCUUCACCCCAGUGUGUCUCCACCUACAAAAUUCAAAUGUUGAUUCCCUAAGUCCAGUGGGGUGGUGUUUGGAGAUGAUGCUUUGGGGAAAUGAUCCGGUUUAAAUGAGGUUGUGCGGGUGGGCCCUGACUAUGAGAUUAAUACCUUUAUCAAAAGAGACCUGAAGAUCUUGUCUACACUCUCCCUUUCCUGACCUAUGAGGACACAGCAGCUCCUUAAAAGCCAGGAAGUGGGCCCUCACUGGGGAAGUGAAUCCUGAGCACCUUGAUUUUGCUUCUGCCAGCCUCCAGAACAGGUGGAAUUGACUCUUGUUGGAACUCCAUGCAUUGCUGCAAGCCCCUCAUUCUCCAGCAGAAGUCACUUCCAGAGGUUUUACACCUGUAAUCCCAGCUGCUUAGGNAA
rnacentral:lncRNA from 1 species